UGAGGAUGAGCUUAUUUAUUGUAUAUCUUUGUUUUGCUGGUUUUCAAAACACUGUUUUUAAGGAGAUCUAUUUUCUGUACUCGCUAUUUAUUACACAACGUAUCACAUAUAUUUAUUUGUAUAGAUAAUUUAUUUUUACAUGCUAUUUAACAUGAAAAAGAAAAUAAAUACCUUAAACUGACAAUCUGCUAUCAUAUUUUCACCAUGUUUUGCUAUAGUACCAUCCCUUUAGAAUUAUCUGGGGAGGAUACCAAUGUGGAUGUUGGGCAUCUGAAGUCAGCAUAACCUCACCCAUGUGCUGAUGCCACCUGAGGGUGCACCCUGACACCUCCCCUAGGGCUCACCUUUGGGAUGAAUGGAUGCUGCGGUAGCUGGGGAUGUCCUUGCCUGCUGGUCCAGAAUGCGUAGCACCAAACAUGGGAAAUCUGAAGCCUAAAGCAUCCCAGUCCUGAGUGGGAAAGGCUCUGGGCUUGGCCAUCCCAGGAGCUCUCAGUAGAUCCCUAUAUGAUUUAAUUAUCAACCACAAGGUUAGGACAAGUGAGGAGUGCUGGGGAAGGAAAGCACCCUGAAGGGAGAGGAGAAAAAGGAUGGAUGAGCAGUACUGAAUCUCAUUCAGUUUGUAUUGCUUCGAGCCCAGAUGCUUCUUUGGAGACCAGUCAGCAGGGGAGGGGAGCUGGUGGCUAUGUGCGGGUGUGUAGGCCACAAGUGGUGUCACCAGGGCAAGAAGACUCCCCUAACCACAGCAAGGGGAUCCAAAACACACAGAUGAGAUUUUCUGCAUAUUAGGAAAGUCAACAGCUGAGUUUCAUCUCUGGAUCACCUUAUAAACUUCUUCUGUCCCGCAACUCUCCCAUCAGAUCCCAGGUUCACAUUGCCCAGAGACUCCAUGCACCGUUGGUGGUGCAAAUACUUCCUUCAGUAAUCUGCAGCUUCAGAACUGAUUUGUAGCACUACACCGAGCAGAAGAGAUCUCACAGCUGCUGGCUUCCAGGGCUUGACAUACCCUAGAGAAUUAUGCACAGCUGUAGCAAUUUGCUGAUUCAUCUGAUACUGUUACAAGAAAGGGUGACUGAAAGGUUGCUGUGACAGAAAGGACUCUGCCAGAAGGUGGGUUUCUGUUGAAAUUAAAGCAAAAUAAUAGUAAUGUGUACAGCUGUACAGACUUUUAGGGUAUUUUUUCAUGGGGAAUGGCCAAAGUGAAACCCUUUUUUUUCCCCCCUGAGGACACAAGGCCUUGGCUUAUUGAGCUCAGGGGGAACCCAAAGAGCAUCCAACCCAACUCUGGAGUCAGAGCAAGCUGUGUAGGGACAUGCCCAGGUGAGUCCUGGAUGUUUCCAGGAAGAGAGAUUUCACAACAUGGGAAUGUCUUUCUGUUAGGUGACUUUGUGGAGCAGCUCCAUGCCAGAGCCAACUGCAGAGCGAGGGAACAUGCUGGAGAGGGCAGAAGAUGGCAAACAGGGACUAUGAUAGGGACAAAGCUUUCCCAGCCCUCUGUAAAAUCCCUGAACGCUUAGGGCCAGGGGCCCAAUGCCCUCUUACAUCAAGGGCACUCUGUGACUAUUACGAAAGGUUUUGAAGUAGUGCAAGUUCCCCCAGCUCUCCAUCCCUGCAAAAUGCUCCAGCUGCCCUUAUCUUACUGACGUACAGCGUGGAUGUUUCUCUUCUUUCUGAUCCUGAUUUGUUAAGGUGACUGACUUAAAAAUCAGCAGACAAAUGGCACAGCUUCUUGUAACUUCUUCUGCUCUGGCUGGAUGUGACUUAGUUCAGGUUUUUUUUUUUGUUCCUGAAAGCGAUGGAAAGCUCUUUCUUUAGUCCUUGAUAUCAAACUUCAGCAUGAGUUAAUAAUGAUAGCUCAAGCCACUGUUUUAAUUUUCAUCACUACUAAAUCCCUGUUUUCUAAUGUACUGGAUACCAGCACUCUUGAUAUUGUAAUUUCUCCCCCCAUUCAGUGCUGUUCAUAAUUCACACUAAUACUAAUUCCUGUAUAUCAGAAAUUAUACUGGGAACCAUCAGGAAUCAUGUUGUGAUGUUACUGCACUGCUCUCAGAGGAGGUGGCGUUCAUUGAGAUCUGAUUGCUUUUAAUUUGCUUUGACAAAAAGAGUGCUUUGAAAAAUAACCUUCACUUCUGUCUGCAGGUGACUUCUGCACAUGUGUGAGUGGUUGGUGGAUUACUCAUUCUGAUGCAAAACUUCAGCUUUUUUGGACUAGAAGGACAGGCUGAAGGAUAGAUAGCUGCUGAAGGCUCUUGGGACUCCAGGCUACCAUGUGAAUUAGUGAUGAUUUUCUUCUUGUUUCCCUUGCACUCCAGAUGUCUCACUUAAGGUGUUACCUCUGUAGCCACAUCCCAACCCCCUUUCUCUGCCCCUGGAGAAGUCCCCCCAGCAGCCCACAUCCCCUGAUUCUUUCUGCACUCAUACUCCAUCAGAGUGUCUGUAGAAGAGGCUGGGGUCGCUUCUUCUUUCUCAUUAAAAAAUCAGUUUGAUUUCUGUGUUCUUUUCAGAAUGGAGGCUCCUUACUGCCCUGUGGCAGCCAAGAAAGGGCAGCUGACACGUGGUUCACCAUGCACUGUCACUCCUUUACUCAGAUGAAUGUCCCAAUAUCUUCAGACCCAGCACCAUAGACUGGACGCUUUUCCACGUUAUUCCUUGUUUCUAGUUUACUCUGUGGUCUCUUUUCUGGAAGGAUGUAUCUGAGUCGAUGUGAAGCUGCUUCAAGUGUUGUCUUAGCAAGGGAUCACUGUAGAUAGCAAAACAGAGGUCUACAAGGCAUUGGAGGGAAGGAACUUUCAGUCCAUGCCAAUUUUACAGGUGGGCAAAUCCUGCCAAUAACAAACCAGGAGGAAAAAGGCUUCUGGGUUAAUCAUUGUGAAAGCCAAAAGCUGGAAAUUGAACACCCUGUCAUGGUCUUGUGCUGGCUUCUAUAUAGUUUAACCUUGGCUCCAAAGUCCAGGCUACCACUGGGGGCCGUGACCACCACUGUCCCAUGGACAUGAAGUCCUGCAGUUGGACUACAUCUCAGGAGACUUAAAGAGGAGAUUGCACAGUUCAUACAUAUAUACAUAUAUAUAUGUAUGUAUGUACAUAUAUACACACACAUAUAUAUAAAUGACACUAAAAAGGUCAAGAUUAGGGCUGAUCAAGGCAAGAAUCUCAAACCUCUGAAACAAAAACCAGCGUGAAUUUUUCAGCUUUCAUUUCUACUCUACCUGCAGGCAGUGUCUGGCCUUGUAAUGUGAUUCAGAGCAUCACUGUGCUGUUUGGUUCCCUGGUAUUAGCAGUACCCAGAGGAAGCAGCAGCUAAACUCCAGGUCACUGAUAGGCAGUAACAGGCCAACACGUACACUGAUCUUCAUCAGAGAUUUGCAUUGCUGUUUGUUAUAAAAUAUACAUCAAAUCUUAGCUGCAUGAGACAUAACCCACA
rnacentral:lncRNA from 1 species